UAAUGUGUGACAGUUUCAACAGCUGUGUAUAAUUUUCUGACAGAUUUCUUGGUCUUUUUCCCUCUACCAUGAAGUUCCCCAACUCUUUUCCUUGGCUUUUAAAGAAUCCCUAGUAUUGGCACGGGCUUGAGAAGGGAGUACCUGACCAGCUGCUCUCAAUUCCUGUUUACCUAAACAGCUGAAGAACCAGCUGCCCCUCUGAGUCACUGGAAGGCCAGUAUGCCUUGCUGCAGAUCUUUCAGAGAACAUUCCAACACUUUGUCCCAGGAUUAACAGUCCAAAAACAUGUAUUAAAAAGAAAUGCUCAAUCA